UAUACAAUACUAUCCCAUUUUGGAAACGUCACAUGUCCGCUUUAUUUAUCUUAAUUAUCUUUUCAGAUCUUCUUAGAAAUUAAUAAAGUCCAUGGAAUGGAUAUAGACAAAACGAGAUUUCAAGGACUAGCAGAGGUAGAGAGGCAGGGGUGAGGACAUCAUCCUGCUAUUUUGACAGUCCUUUUAGGACAAUACAGAAGAGGACUGGAGACCACAGCAGCGAUUCUGCUCUUGCCCAACCUCUUCAAAGAGGAGCCGAGUGGCCUUUAUGUCCAUGACAUGAUUUCACCGCUCUUCACUCCUUUACUGCACAUCGGUGGAAAUCCAUUUCACCAUGAAAGUGAAAUCCCGCUGGCCUUUGAUGGGGAGAACAUCCACCCCCUCAAGGACGUCUCCAUGGGACUUGGGGCUCUACUAGGGCUGUAUUUUUUAUUUUCCCUUAAAUUUCCCCCAAAAUGUCAGAAAAAAACUUUUGUUAAGUUACUGUCUUCUGGGGAGAAGAGAAGUUGGGGUGAAGUUAACAGGGCCGGUCAUAAAGAUGGCAAACUUCCUAACAUAACUAAGUGAAUAUGAUAUACGCAAUAAAGCUGAAAAUCUGUA